rnacentral:rRNA from 1 species
UACGUAGGGACCAAGCGUUGUUCGGAUUUACUGGGCGUAAAGGGCGCGUAGGCGGCAAUUCAAGUCAGCUGUGAAAUCUCCGGGCUUAACUCGGAACGGUCAGCUGAUACUGCUUUGCUAGAGUGCAGAAGGGGCAACUGGAAUUCUCGGUGUAGCGGUGAAAUGCGUAGAUAUCGAGAGGAACACCUGCGGCGAAGGCGGGUUGCUGGGCUGACACUGACGCUGAGGCGCGAAAGCCAGGGGAGCGAACAGG